rnacentral:rRNA from 1 species
AGCGAACGCUGGCGGCAGGCUUAACACAUGCAAGUCGAGCGGGCACUUUCGGGUGUCAGCGGCGGACGGGUGAGUAACGCGUGGGAACGUGCCCUCUGGUUCGGAAUAACUCAGGGAAACUUGAGCUAAUACCGGAUACGCCCUUUUGGGGAAAGGCUUGCUGCCGGAGGAUCGGCCCGCGUCUGAUUAGCUAGUUGGUGAGGUAACGGCUCACCAAGGCGACGAUCAGUAGCUGGUCUGAGAGGAUGAUCAGCCACACUGGGACUGAGACACGGCCCAGACUCCUACGGGAGGCAGCAGUUGGGAAUAUUGGACAAUGGGCGCAAGCCUGAUCCAGCCAUGCCGCGUGAGUGAUGAAGGCCUUAGGGUUGUAAAGCUCUUUUAUCCGGGACGAUAAUGACGGUACCGGAGGAAUAAGCCCCGGCUAACUUCGUG